GACAGAGGGUGCAAACGUUGUUCGGAAUUACUGGGCGUAAAGCGCGUGUAGGCGGCUAUGUAAGUCGGGCGUGAAAUCCCACGGCUCAACCGUGGAAGUGCACCCGAAACUGCGUAGCUAGAGUCCUGGAGAGGAAGGUGGAAUGCUUGGUGUAGAGGUGAAAUUCGUAGAUAUCAAGCGGAACACCGGUGGCGAAGGCGGCCUUCUGGACAGUGA
rnacentral:rRNA from 1 species